CCACUCCUGACCCUGGAUGACUGGUCAUCGUGGAGACCAAGGUAUCUCUCAACAAGCAUCCUGCAGAGACUGCCCUCAUAUUUGCAUCAGUGGGAACUUGGCUAUGAAAUUUG